GAUGAAGAACGCAGCGAAAUGCGAAAAGUAAUGUGAAUUGCAGAAUUCAGUGAAUCAUCGAAUCUUUGAACGCACCUUGCGCUCCUUGGUAUUCCGAGGAGCAUGCCUGUUUGAGUGUCAUGAAAUUCUCAACCUUUUCAGCUUUCUUUGUUGAUCAGGCUUGGAUGUGGGAGUAUGCGGGCUUCUCAGAAGUCGGCUCUCCUGAAAUGCAUUAGCGGGACCUUUGUUGCCUGGCUUUGGUGUGAUAAUUAUCUACGCCAUUGUAGUCAAGCAGCUUAAAAUGAGGUUUCAGCUUCUAACCGUCUCCCCUGAGACAACUUUUUGACAAUUUGACCUCAAAUCAGGUAGGACUACCCGCUGAACUUAAGCAUAUCAAUAAGCGGAGGA
rnacentral:misc_RNA from 1 species